rnacentral:rRNA from 1 species
UACGGAGGGGGCUAGCGUUGUUCGGAAUUACUGGGCGUAAAGCGCGCGUAGGCGGACCUGCAAGUCGGGGGUGAAAGCCCGAGGCUCAACCUCGGAACUGCCUUCGAUACUGCGGGUCUCGAGUCCGGGAGAGGUGAGUGGAAUUCCGUAGUGUAGAGGUGAAAUUCGUAGAUAUUAGGAAGAACACCAAGUGGCGAAGGGCGGCUCACUGGCCC